rnacentral:lncRNA from 1 species
UGGAAUCAAAACAUACAUGAACUGAUAGAAGGUUGAAGAAAUCGCCCUCCUAGCCGUCUUUAGGUCUCAAAAUCGCACUUUGCUCUCUCCAAUUCGUAACCCUUGUUUUCAAAAUAGUAUUCAGCUUAAAUAGGCAAGAACUGCUCCUAAAAUCGUGGCACGAUUUAAGUAAAUCGUGACACGUUUAUGCUUGUGUAACAAACCACCUAAAUUAGGGUUUCCAUAAUCGUGUCACGUUUUUGCCAUCGUGACACGUUUUCACCAAUGUCGAAUGCAAGUUUCUUGAAA